rnacentral:lncRNA from 1 species
GGCAGAGCAGCAGGAGAGCUAUCAGAUAAUGGAGGAGGAUUCACUGGCACAGGCUCAUUCCGCAGACCAGUGCACUCCGCAAACACACGGUGGGCGAAAGCACUGAGCUGUAUGCUGUUAUGUAUAUCUACCACAUCAUGCGAUAAAAAUAGAGGCUUGACUUCUUUUUUAGCGCAUCUGAUUCACCUGUUCAUGCGGAAUAUUACGAGUGUUCUGUAAAUAUUCUGUGUCUGAAAUAGUAACAACACCACUGGAACGCCACUGGAAUGCUGGAAAAUGGGAUUUGUGAAUAAUUUAAGAACCAAGAUGUAGAAGUUCUCCACUGGAAGGUGUGUGAAACCAGGGGAACUUAUGGAUUCACGUGUGGAAAGCGCCAAGGAAGGAGAUCGGAGUCCACCACACCAAGAUCGAAGGAUACCUACAGGUAAGUUCAAAGUGCAAAAUUUAUUCAAAAAAGGGUAAUAAAAGAAAAAAGAGAAAAUAAAGAAUUAAAAAAUACAAUGAAAAUUAAAGGACUAUAAUGCAGCUUAGCACUGAACUGCAGCCCUACAAAUAAAUACUGUGCCUAGGCUUCAGGGGAGUACCUUACUGAGCUUAGAACUAACUCUUCAGCAGAGAAAAAGAAGAAGAAGAACAAAAAGAACAAAAAGAAGAAGAACAAGAACAAAAAGAAGAAGAAGAAGAAGAAGAACAACAACAACAAAAACAAAAAGAAGAAGAGCAAGAACAAGAAGAAGAACAGGAAGAACAAGAAGAAGAACAAGAAGAAGGAGAAGAAGAAGAACAAGAACAAGAAGAACAAGAACAAGAAGAACAAGAAGGAGAAGAAGAAGAAGAACAAGAAGAAGGAGAAGAAAAAGAAGAACAAGAAGAAGAAGAACAAGAAGAAGAACAAGAAGGAGAAGAAGAAGAACAAGAAGAAGGAGAAGAAGAAGAAGAAGAAGAACAAGAACAAGAAGAACAAGAAGGAGAAGAAGAAGAAGAACAAGAAGGAGAAGAAAAAGAAGAACAAGAAGAAGCAGAAGAAGAAGAACAACAAAAAGAAGAAGAACAAGAAGAAGAAGAAGAACAAGAAGAAGAAGAACAACAAGAAGAAGAACAAGAACAAGAAGAACAAGAAGAAGGAGAAGAAGAAGAAGAAGAAGAACAAGAAGAAGAACAAGAAGAAGAAGAAGGCUCCCCCACUUUAACUUACUGCCCCUUUAAAUACUGGAAGCCCCGCCCCGGGCUAAACCAAAUCUCAGCAGGUUUCACAAUUGUCUUUACAGAACAUUAAAUGUCCCAGCAACAGCUUUGGUGAUGAGGGAGACCUCAUACCUCAUCACAAAAGAGAAGGUUCUUGAAUUACAACAAAAAUCCUAACUUUGAAGCAAAAAUGAAAAAAUAAAAACAAAAGCCCAGAUGCA